rnacentral:lncRNA from 1 species
GUUACGGGUUUGGUCACACGCGCGCUCCGACUACUUUUUCUCCAGCGGGAGAAAAGGUGACGUGACGUCUGGCGAACGGAUCGCUCGCGUGGACUUGGCAGCGGCUCGCCGCGGGGCGUCCGACGCGCCGGAGCAGGGAAGGUUCUGGAAAUGAUGGUGCUUUGGCCAGCAGAACUGGAAGCUUCGACAUUUUGGCGUUCUGGGAGGGAAGUGAAAGUUUAAACAGAGCCUCUAAGGGAGGCCUCCAUUCGUUUAGAGAAAAAUCACACCUGGCUUCAGGUACGGAUGCACGCCGGGAACGACAGAGCCGUGUGCGUGUUCCGCUCACGCCGAUGGAAACGCAUUUCGGUCCCAGUUGGAGAAGUCUCGGGUGUCUCAGGCGGCAGGUGGAACAGUGGUUAAAGCUCUCACCUUGCGGUUGCUACCUCUUGGAUUUGAAUCCCACUCCUGCUUGUACUCAUACUUACUGUGAAUGGACAUAAACUAUCCUGCUGCACGAAUGGGUAAAGCGUGUUGUGGUGGUCAGUGAUCCAAUUCUUAUACCUUCCCCUUGAGAUAUGACACCCAAGGCCAUACAGAACAUGUGAACACAGGCACGCACCUCCUCCAGUGUGUGAGCUAUGAGACUCCUGCUGCCAUUCACUCCGUGGAUUCCUUCACCGAGGCAUUAUUCCUUAUAGUUGUAAUAGCAGUCUGGAACAGUAGGUGGUGCAGUGGUUGGAGGCGUUGCCGUAUCGGCCUUCAUCAACGUACGUAUCUGGAAUCAAAAAACUAAAAAUGAC